UACGUAGGGUGCAAGCGUUUGUCCGGAAUUAUUGGGCGUAAAGAGCUCGUAGGCGGUCUGUUGCGUCGGCUGUGAAAACCCGGGGCUCAACUCCGGGCCUGCAGCCGAUACGGGCAGACUAGAGUUCGGCAGGGGAGACUGGAAUUCCUGGUGUAGCGGUGAAAUGCGUAGAGAUCAUGAGGAAGACCAGUGGCGAAGGCGGGUCUCUGGACAGUUCCUGACACUGAGGCACGAAGGCCAGGGGAGCAAACGGG
rnacentral:rRNA from 1 species